CGGCGGACGGGUGAGUAACGCGUGGGUAACCUGCCUCAUACAGGGGGAGUAACAGUUGGAAACGGCUGCUAAUACCGCAUAAGCGCACAGUACCGCAUGGUACCGUGUGAAAAACUCCGGUGGUAUGAGAUGGACCCGCGCCUGAUUAGGUAGUUGGUGGGGUAACGGCCUACCAAGCCGACGAUCAGUAGCCGACCUGAGAGGGUGACCGGCCACAUUGGGACUGAGACACGGCCCAAACUCCUACGGGAGGCAGCAUG
rnacentral:rRNA from 1 species